CCUACGGGAGGCAGCAGUGGGGAAUAUUGCACAAUGGGGGAAACCCUGAUGCAGCGACGCCGCGUGAGUGAAGAAGUAAUUCGUUAUGUAAAGCUCUAUCAGCAGGGAAGAAAAUGACGGUACCUGAGUAAGAAGCCCCGGCUAACUACGUGCCAGCAGCCGCGGUAAUACGUAGGGGGCAAGCGUUAUCCGGAUUUACUGGGUGUAAAGGGAGCGUAGACGGCAGUGCAAGUCUGGAGUGAAAGGCGGGGGCUCAACCCCCGGAAUGCUCUGGAAACUGUACGGCUUGAGUGCAGGAGAGGUAAGUGGAAUUCCUAGUGGAGCGGUGAAAUGCGUAGAUAUUAGGAGGAACACCAGUGGCGAAGGCGGCUUACUGGACUGUAACUGACGUUGAGGCUCGAAAGCGUGGGGAGCAAACAGGAUUAGAUACCCGUGUAGUC
rnacentral:rRNA from 1 species